rnacentral:misc_RNA from 1 species
UAAAAGAUCAAACUUUUCAGAUUGAGCAUUGUUUGGCUCAACAGAAUUAUCAAACUGAAACAGUACAUUUCGGUUGAUUUGGUUCGGUUUUCUUAUAAAUUCAGUUAAAAUUAAUUUAAAUUGGCUUUCAUAACCACUUUACUUUAAAAACCAAAUUUACUGAAUUAUAUUUUAUGAUUUCUUAAUUUACUUUAAUAUAUUUGUAUGUAAA